rnacentral:rRNA from 1 species
UAGGGAAUAUUGGACAAUGGGUGAGAGCCUGAUCCAGCCAUGCCGCGUGCAGGAAGAAGGCGUUAUGCGUUGUAAACUGCUUUUUGCCAGGGGAUAAAAAGACCGUGCGCGGUUAAUUGAAGGUACCUGGUGAAUAAGCCACGGCUAACUACGUGCCAGCAGCCGCGGUAAUACGUAGGUGGCAAGCGUUGUCCGGAUUUACUGGGUUUAAAGGGUGCGUAGGCGGUGAUAUAAGUCAGUGGUGAAAGGCCGUAGCUUAACUAUGGGAUUGCCAUUGAUACUGUAUGACUUGAAUCAGGAUGAGGUUGGCGGAAUGUGGCAUGUAGCGGUGAAAUGCUUAGAUAUGCCAUAGAACACCGAUUGCGAAGGCAGCUGACUGGACCUUGAUUGACGCUGAGGCACGAAAGCGUGGGGAGCGAACAGGAUUAGAUACCCCUGUAGUCCCUGAGCGGGCUGGCAAGGCGCAU